rnacentral:rRNA from 1 species
GGAGGAAAGUAGGGGAUCGAAAGACCUUAUGCUUUUGGAGCGGCCGAUGUCUGAUUAGCUAGUUGGUAAGGUAAUGGCUUACCAAGGCAACGAUCAGUAGUUGGUCUGAGAGGACGACCAGCCACACUGGGACUGAGACACGGCCCAGACUCCUACGGGAGGCAGCAGUGGGGAAUUUUGGACAAUGGGCGCAAGCCUGAUCCAGCAAUGCCGCGUGAGUGAAGAAGGCCUUCGGGUUGUAAAGCUCUUUCAGUUGAGAAGAAAAGAUUGUGACUAAUAGUUGCAAUUCAUGACGGUAUCAACAGAAGAAGCACCGGCUAACUACGUGCCAGCAGCCGCGGUAAUACGUAGGGUGCGAGCGUUAAUCGGAAUUACUGGGCGUAAAGGGUGCGCAGGCGGUUCUGUAAGUCAGAUGUGAAAUCCCCGGGCUUAACCUGGGAACUGCGUUUGAAACUACAAAGCUAGA